rnacentral:rRNA from 1 species
CGCGUAGGCGGCCAAGCAAGUUAGGCGUGAAAUCCCUGGGCUUAACCCAGGAACUGCGUUUAAUACUGCUUGGCUAGAGAUUGGUAGAGGAAAGUGGAAUUCCUAGUGUAGAGGUGAAAUUCGUAGAUAUUAGGAAGAACACCAGAGGCGAAGGCGACUUUCUGGGCCAAUACUGACGCUGAGGCGCGAAAGCGUGGGGAGCAAACAGGAUUAGAUACCCUGAUAGUCCACGCUGUAAACGAUGAGUGCUAGACGUCGGCGGUUUAACUGUCGGUGUCGCAGCUAACGCAUUAAGCACUCCGCCUGGGGAUACGGUCGCAAGAUUAAA